AGCUAAUCAGCGACACCUGUCAAUAAACUUUUGUUUGUUUUGCUGUUUGACGUCCAACUUCGCAAGCCUUUUCGGGAAUCCCAGAGUUCCCUCAACUAAUCUUCAUCCAUCCCUGCGUUAGUCUCCCACCUCGCCCUUUCCAGGUCAUCCGGGGCCUCCUCCCAGUGUGAAGCCGCCUCAUCUGACCCCUCUCGGUGCGUAGGAUCAGCGGCCUCACCGCUAAACCUCUCCAGGAUGACUGAGCAUCUUCCCUCUCGCCGAGACUCAGUCCUCACAUCCUGCUGAGGAAGCUUUGGCCGCUUGUAUGCCUGAUCAUAGAAAUUGGUGCUCGAGUCCCUUGAGCAUUUCCAAGCUUUUAGAUGAGAUGAACGAGAUGAAAUCGCAUUAGACGGCAGCAAAGCACCGAUGGAGAAAUUGAAAACAACGAUAUUGAAAUGCUGAUCAUGAUUCAGAGCAUACAUCAGUGGAGGGAGAGAGGGGGCAUCACCUCGCCUGUCACUGAGCUCCCCUAAAUCAUCGCCAUUCUCACUCUGCAGGCCGAUCUCCUCGCCAUACAUUUUUCGGCUAUCAAGUGGCACUGAAAGUCCCACUUAUCACUCGGCGGCACAUGUCCCUACAGAUGUGGCAACCCGCGCCCGUCACCGCCAGUGGCAUCGUAAUUCUCCUGAUAGCUGAAAAGUCGACUCAAAAGCAGAUGAAACCGCAAACAAAGGGAUCGCUCACACGAGCUGAACUUCCUCUGCUGGCCUCCCACCAAGACUGCCCGCCCCAGAAAGCAUUGAGCAGUGACCACAAUCGUAACCUGUGAGUAAGCACUGUGUGAGGAGCCCAAAUCCCCAUUGCAGAGCUUGUACCGUUAACGAGCUGCUUUUCUGACUCAUAUGAUCGCUGCUCCACCUUUUGUACAACCAUAUCUUUCACACACAGCAAGAAAGAACCACUGUUUUGCCCAAGGUUGGCUCGUUCACUUCCUAAAGAAAUAUACCACUGUAAUGGGCCAUUUGGCUUUAUGGUGAUCCAAUGAAGUGAAGCAGUCUAAUGAGAUCGGGAUGCUUCAAUAAAUUAAUUAAGAAGUCAAUAAGUUCCACUACUAAGCCAUGCCAUUUGAAGAGGUUUUCACACCAGUAAAUGUAGAAUGAGCGAUUUUGCCUGAUGCGUUUAUUGAUUUCGGUCAAAAUGGGUAUAAACUAUCUUUAUAAGCCAAUCACAAUAUUAUGACUAAUAUUCAAGCUUGGGCGUUUAGAUGCAUGCAUAAUUUGGGCUUGUCUCUGACAGUGUAGAGUUGGUAUGCUUCAGUUUG